UUUUCACUCCAACACCCCAACAGACUCUGCUAUCCAAGCCUUAUCUCCCCAGAGACCUCAAGAAAGACCCAGAGCUGUGAGAGGAGCCAGGAGUCCUCGCCCCUGCAGAACAGCCCACACCAGGGCCCCCUCUGACACAUGAGCUGUCCUGAUCACAUCACAGCAAUGGAGUUGCUUUGGGGGCUCCCCAACUUUCCUCGAUAGCCUCCAGGAACGCACUGCUGUCCCUUGAAGACGUCAGGCGCCGUGGACAGAGACGAGGCUGGUUCCAUCCAUCAGAGGGCAUUCAGCUUAGUCAGGAACCCAUAGCUUCAGCCGG
rnacentral:lncRNA from 1 species